rnacentral:lncRNA from 1 species
CUUGUCUCCACGGCGUCGUUCACUGACAUCAGUAACGACUUUGCUAGCACAUCUAAAAGCGCUACAAUAUUAAAUUUCAACAAAUUAUAAAUGUAUCAGCUAUCAACUAUUAUUAACGUAUUAUGUGGUAAUAUAUAAAGUUCAAAGAUGUUAAAGAUCUGAUUUUAAAAUCAGUCCACGCGCAGAGUCGCAAAAGCAUGAAGAUAUAAUCGAUGUACCUCGAUAGCAUGCAUAUUCUCGUUACCAUUUUAGCCGAUGAAAUUCGAUUAGGUGAUGAUAUACCAGGUCCCGGACAAAUUGGAUUGUUGACAAUGCGGUCUGUCAUCGUGCAUGGUUUAUUAGCCAAAUCGAUUUUAUCUUUCUCUUAUAGAUUGAAACGAUUUGGAAUUUGAUAGAAAAAAAGAAAAUAGAUCUUCUUUAGUUUGGAAUACUGGAAACACCAUUAUUCUUUCUCAUUUUUCUUGUUU